rnacentral:lncRNA from 1 species
CAGCCCAGCUGCUGGCUCUGACUCCCAGAAGUCUGCCCCUUCCCCUCGAGGGCCCCCAGUGCCUGGAGUGCCGCUACUUGGCCGUGUGACCCCUCUACGGGCCUGUUUCCUAAUCUGUAGUAGAGGGCCCACGGCAUCUCCCACAGGGUCUCCGUGAUGGGGGAAGGAGCGGGGAACUACCUUGGUCUGUGCAACUCCCGGAGCCCCGCCCGGUUACUUGGGUGAGUUGGCUCCCCAGGCUUUUGAGAUACCUGCCUUUUGUCCAGCACUGCAUCGUCCUCGCAUAUCCAAGGCUGUGUCUCCCUUCAGCAUCACCACUCGGCUUUUAGCAGACUGAAGCCAUGGUUUUUAGUUUUGUCUCUAGUGAUGAGCAGAAAAGAGGGAUGAGGAAGAGGCUUUACUGGUCCAACCAGAAAGAGAAGCUAAGAACCCAUGACUGGAUUCUCUCCCUUGGACACCCCACAGACCAAUAUCUCACCUUCCAGGAGAAGACCCUUCCAGCUCUUGCUUCUUUAAACCUAUUAACUUAGUUUUCUUUAGCUAGACUCCCAAACAUCAGCUUUUACAAUUCAGCCUAUGGUUCAAUCACUAUGGCAAGAUAAACAUUUGUUUAGGUGUGAAACACCACUGGCUAUCUUUGGGUUUUGUAAUCUACCCUCUUGAGGUUGCAGGAGCUACUGUGAAACCUUACUGCAUCCAUGGUCAUGAUAGAGAUGGUGACUCUAAGGUGAGCCCUGAAUAAAGCCCUCAUCUGAAGCUCCCCUCGAAUGCAGGGACCCAGGCUCUGAAGAGCCUCACAGAAAGCUGGCUACCUUGGAUGCAAAACUGUAAAGGUUACGUGUUUACAAUGAGUCUUAAAAGAAGCAUGACCUGGCCAGGUGCGUGGCUCAUGCUUGUAAUCCCAGCACUUUGGGAGGCCAAGGCAGGUGGAUCACAAGGUCAAGAGAUCAAGACCAUCCUGGCCAACAUGGUGAAACCCCGUCUCUACUAAAAAUACAAAAAAUUAGCCGGGUGUGGUGGCAGGCGCCUGUAAUCCCAGCUACUUGGGAGGCCGAGGCAGAAGAAUUGCUUGAACCCGGGAGGUGGAGAUGGCAGUGAGCUGAGAUCGCACCAUUGGAGUCCAGCCUGGGCAAAAAGAGCGAAACUCUGUCUCAAAAAAAAAAAAAAAAGUAUUACCUAAUAUGCAACCUUCCACAUCUGGGGAAAAAUGAGAGUAGAACAUUUUGGGCAUGGGGUAGAACACCAUAUCUUGAGUGAUAUAUUCUAACAUCAUUUAAAUUGGUAUAUUGUAUUAGUAUGGGGUAAUACAUUCCAAAUGAUGGAUAAUUUCCCCCUUUUCAUCUAUGUGUCUCUGACCACUGCCAAUGCUUAUACUUAGUGAUGUUUUUAGAUGAUUACUAAUAACAGAUGGUAAUCAGCUUUUCUUGAAAAUGCACUGCUGACUUCCUGUGUUACCUUAAAUAGACAGCUGAACGCAACAAUUACACUGACUGCAUGCUUUAUUCUAAGACGUGAAAGAAU